CGCCCUGUCAUCAUUAUAAAUUGAGUUAUUUUACUUCCUCAUGGUACAUAUUUUCCAACAAAUGAAUCAAAUAAGGAUUUUUUGGACUACAUUCUUGUUUUGCUGUUUUCCGGUUUAUUUUUCAACAUUAUGCAGUUAAAUUUGGAUCGAUCAGUAAGAACAACUAGAGAUUUAUUGGAACUCCAUUGAAACAACAAAUAUUUUGCUAUGGAUUUGGUUUGCUUUUUAGACCUUCAAAGUUUGGAACGUUACAGUCUACAGUUAAUUAAGAUCGACGCUGGAGAAGACAAAGAAGACCCCGUAGUUAAAAUAGAUCUUUUAUACUGCAUGCUCUAUCUGAUAGUAAUAAUUCUUUUAGUCCAAAUUCAAAUUAAUUUUUUAUUUUGUAGUUAAUUUGAAUUAGUUUUUAUUUUGCACA